GCUAUUGGGAUUUUAGGAGAUCUUCUCACCAUGACAACGAAGAAGUAGAACACGUACAUCCAGCCCAGCUUGCUCUCAACUCAGGGACACCAGCAGCUCCUACACUUCCAGUUCCGUCCACUAUGCCAGUGACAGUAGCCAAAGCCUUCUGACUGCCCCUCAGAGCAUCCUGUCUCCCCAGGUCAGCAGAUAUGGCAGAGCUGAUCAUAUUAGACGGACCGCCAAUGAAGAAGCCAGUGGUUGUCAACAGCGCAGCAUUAAUCACCUGGUCAUUAGGUGACCCUGAGGAGGAUGGAGGGAGAGAGAGAGAGAGAGAGAGAGAGACGAAUUGUGAUACUGUGGGCUCCCAUCGCCAGCGCCAGACUGAGGGCCAACACUGGAGAUCUCUUUCCCAUGAAGUCAGAGAUCAAACCCUGAACCGUCCCUCCUGACACAAGCAAACAAAACGACAGUUAACAUCCAAACUCUGAGGAUAUUUAUGUAUAAAUUAGACCGAGAAGAAGGUCGUAUUUUACACAAUGAAAAUUCUUGAAUUCCUUGUUAUUGUGUAUUUGUUAGUGUUCUUGUGAAUGUUUCUUGU